rnacentral:rRNA from 1 species
GAUGAACGAUAGAGGGAGGAAGAACACAGGCAAGCCGAGCGGUAGAGUUUCUUCGGAAACUUGAGAGCGGCGCACGGGUGCGUAACACGUGUGCAACCUACCUUUAUCUGGGGGAUAGCCUUUCGAAAGGAAGAUUAAUACCCCAUAAUAUAAUGAUUGGCAUCAAUUAUUAUUGAAAACUCCGGUGGAUAGAGAUGGGCACGCGCAAGAUUAGAUAGUUGGUGAGGUAACGGCUCACCAAGUCAAUGAUCUUUAGGGGUCCUGAGAGGGAGGUCCCCCACACUGGUACUGAGACACGGACCAGACUCCUACGGGAGGCAGCAGUGAGGAAUAUUGGACAAUGGGUGAGAGCCUGAUCCAGCCAUCCCGCGUGAAGGAUGACGGUCCUAUGGAUUGUAAACUUCUUUUGUACAGGGAUAAACCUACCCUCGUGAGGGUAGCUGAAGGUACUGUACGAAUAAGCACCGGCUAACUCCGUG